GUGCCCCUAAGAAACAGGAAGCUACAUAUGUGUCUUUCCGAAAGAGCAUGCUGGUAUGAACUAUACCAAAGGUGUCUUUCCACAACCAUUCUAAAUGCAUUCAAGUUGACAAUGGAGAUUAACUGUCACAUCUAGUAAGUGAAAGACCACUAUGAAAGUGAUUCCAUCAGUCAUAUUUGAUACAGAAAAAGUGAACCCCAGGAGAGGGCUCCAAGCUUCAGCUCUUGUCUGAGAUAAAGCCACACUGUAAGGUUCCAGAUGGCCACACUUAUUUGGAGACAGCAUUUAACACAAUGCUACUUCUACCUCUAUGAGAACCUGGUGAAGAGGACACAGCCAGAGCUUUGCUCUAAAGGUUCCAAAUGCACAUCUAACUAACCAUCCAACUGGUCCCAUCAGCCAAUGUAUCUCUUUGUUACCUCAAGGGAGUUUGAUUUAGGUUUUCAUCAAUAUAGCUUCAUAUUUUCAAUGUU
rnacentral:lncRNA from 1 species